rnacentral:rRNA from 1 species
UAUAUGACUCUCGGCAACGGAUAUCUCGGCUCUCGCAUCGAUGAAGAACGUAGAGAAAUGCGAACUUGGUGUGAAUUGCAGAAUCCCGUGAACCAUCGAGUCUUUAACGCAAGUUGCGCCCGAGGCUUUCGGUUGAGGGCACGCCUUCCUGGGCGUCACGC